rnacentral:rRNA from 1 species
AGAAUCAACGCUGGCGGCGUGCCUAACACAUGCAAGUCGAACGAGAAAGUGGAGCAAUCCAUGAGUAAAGUGGCGACCGGGUGAGUAACACGUGACUAACCUACCUUCGAGUGGGGGAUAACCUCGGGAAACCGGGGCUAAUACCGCAUAACAUCCUUGAAGUGGAAAUUUCGGAGAUCAAAGGAGCAAUUCGCUGGAAGAGGGGGUCGCGGCUGAUUAGCUAGUUGGCGGGGUAACGGCCCACCAAGGCUUAGAUCGGUAGCCGGCCUGAGAGGGCGCACGGCCACACUGGAACUGAAACACGGUCCAGACUCCUACGGGAGGCAGCAGUGGGGAAUUUUGCGCAAUGGGGGAAACCCUGACGCAGCAACGCCGCGUGGAGGAUGAAGUCCCGUUGGGACGUAAACUCCUUUCGACCCGGACGAUAAUGACGGUACGGGUGGAAGAAGCCCGGCUAACUCGUGCCAGCAGCCGC